rnacentral:rRNA from 1 species
CGGGUGACAGCCCCGUACGCGAACCCAGACCGGACGGCGCGACGCGGUCCCUGAGUAGGGCCGGGCACGUGAAACCCGGUCCGAACCUGGGUGGACCACCAUCCAAGCCUGAGUACUACCCUGUGACCGAUAGCGCACCAGUACCGUGAGGGAAAGGUGAAAAGCACCCCGGGAGGGGAGUGAAACAGUACCUGAAACCGUGCGCCCACGAGCAGUCGGAGCAACUUUCAGUUGUGACGGCGUGCCUUUUGUAGAAUGAGCCAGCGAGUCGCUGGCGCGGGGCGAGGUUAACCGAAAGGGAGCCGGAGCGAAAGCGAGCCUUAACAGGGCGACUUGAGUCCCGCGCCGCGGACGCGAAGCCGGGUGAGCUAUCCGUGGGCAGGCUGAAGCGGGGGUAAGACCCCGUGGAGGGCCGAACGCACGUCGGUUGAAAACGGCGGCGAUGACCUGCGGAUAGGGGUGAAAGGCCAAUCAAACCCGGAGAUAUCUCGUUCUCCCCGAAAUAGCUUUAGGGCUAGCGUCGCGCGUUCACCGCCGGAGGUAGAGCACCGGAUGGACGAGGGGGCUUCGCCGCCUACCGAAUCCAACCGAACUCCGAAUGCCGGCGGCCCAGAGCGCGGCAGUCAGAGCAUGUGGGCUAAGCUGUGUGCUCGAGAGGGAAACAGCCCGGACCGCCCGCUAAGGUCCCCAAGUUCCAGCCGAGUGGCAAAGGAUGUGCGUCCGCCCAGACAACCAGGAUGUUGGCUUAGAAGCAGCCAUCCAUUCAAAGAGUGCGUAACAGCUCACUGGUCGAGUGGACAUGCGCCGACAAUACACGGGGCUAAGCUGGACACCGAAGCGGCGGGAUUUUAAUUCAUUAGAAUCGGUAGGGGAGCUUCCCAUGGGCGGAGAAGCCGGAGGGCGACCGACGGUGGAGCGCAUGGGAGUGAGAAUGCUGGCAUGAGUAGCGAGAGACGAGAGAGUAACUCGUCCGCCGUGAACCCGAGGUUUCCUGGGCAAGGCUAAUCCUCCCAGGGUCAGUCGGGGGCUAAGGCGAGGCCGGGAGGCGUAGCCGACGCGCAGCAGGCAGACAUUCCUGCACCGCGCACGCGGCGCUACGACCGACGGGGCGACGGAUGGGGGUGGCUCGGCGGGGUUCUGGACGUCCCCGUGAUGGAGCGCGGCCCGCGGACCAGGGAAAUCCGGUCCGCAGAAGGGCGAGGCUCCGGACGAAGCGACUGAGCGAAGCGAGUGAGCCCGAGGUCCCUAGAAAAACCCCUAGGCAGGCGCGUGCGCGCCCGUACCGCAAACCGACACAGGUGGGUGGGUAGAACAUACCGAGGCGAUCGGGUCAACCAUGGUCAAGGAACUCGGCACAAUGGCCCCGUAACUUCGGGAGAAGGGGUGCCCGCGCGUACGUGAACCGGCUUGCCCGGGGAGCGGAGGCGGGCCGCAGUGGAGAGGCCCAAGCGACUGUUUACCAAAAACACAGGACUCUGCAGAAGCCGCAAGGCGACGUAUAGGGUCUGACGCCUGCCCGGUGCCGGAAGGUCACGCGGAGGAGUUAGCCGUCAAGGCGAAGCCCCGAAGCCAAGCCCCGGUAAACGGCGGCCGUAACUAUAACGGUCCUAAGGUAGCGAAAUUCCUUGUCGGGUAAGUUCCGACCUGCACGAAAGGCGCAACGACUUGGGCGCUGUCUCGACCAUGGACCCGGUGAAAUUGCACUGGUCGUGAAGAUGCGACUUACCCGCGGAAGGACGGAAAGACCCCGUGAACCUUCACUGCAGCUUGGCAUUGGCCGCUGGUCCCGCGUGUAGAGGAUAGGCAGGAGGCACAGAUCCGGAGGCGCCAGCCCCCGGGGAGCCGCCCUUGGAAUACUGCCCUCGCGCGACCGGCGUCCUAACCCGAGGCCGUCAACCGGCUCGGGGACCGUGCCAGGCGGGCAGUUUGACUGGGGCGGUCGCCUCCUAAAGGGUAACGGAGGCGCGCGAAGGUCCGCUCGGGACGGUCGGCAACCGUCCUUUUGAAUGCAAGAGUACAAGCGGGCUUGACUGCGAGGCCCACAAGCCGAGCAGGUGCGAAAGCAGGCUCUAGUGAUCCGGCGGCCCCGAGUGGGUGGGCCGUCGCUCAACGGAUAAAAGGUACUCCGGGGAUAACAG